GUAAUGGUUCAUGCAUUAUUGGUGGGAGUGUAACGGAUUGUAAAAUGAAAUGUCUAAAUUAUUUGUAGUUUAUUUAAAUUAAACAAUUUAAAUGAAUUUCUAAUUUAAGACUGUUGCAGAUUGUUUAUGUAUGUUUGUCUGUUUUGGUUUGCAUUGUUGGUGAUUUAUUUGGUUUAAUGGUAUUUUGUAAUGUUUUGGAUUUUUUUUUUUUAAUACGUACCUCACGGGCUGCCGUAGAGAAAGAGGGCAGGGCCUAUAAAACUGGGGAAUUGCAGUGAACCAAAUGAACUGUCAAACGUUGGACUAAGAAAUGGCGUUCCCCAGUAAAGGCAGCGAGUUUUCACGGUGAUGGUGAUGAUGAUGGUGAUGAUGAUGGAGGUUUUGAAGUCAAGUGACCUGACGAUGAUCCAGCAAAAUCAUCAAAGGAGAAAUAAAGCCAAUAUCACCUGUC